UAAACUUGUUACUGCUGUUGGCACAGUAUUGAAUGAGAUGGCAAGAUUCGACAUUCUUAUGUAGUAUAACUGGGAAGAAACGAUCACCCAUCACUUGAGGAAGGGCAGGCUUCUAUUUUAUUAUGUGACUCUAUAAAAGUUUUUCUGGGAAUUUGUUGUAGAUGCUUUUCAAUAUCUCUUGCCUCUUAGGACCAUCACCAUCAUACUAGGCACAAAAGCCAAAGUGCCCUAAAGAAGACCUUGACCUAAGUUCAUGUCAAGAACACAAAACAGUGCUACUGACAGAGUCAGUGCCAAUUUUUGUAUGUCUCCAGUAAAAACUCUGUGGGUAAUUUGGUUUGGUGUGUCAAGGCUCAGUAUUCCUAAGAGCAACAAAGAUCUAGUCCAGAUCAAUACCUGCCGCAAGGCAUGUCAACAACCAUGCCAUUGUCUUACAAAUUGACAACCUGAGAAGCCAAGAGAGACUGAUGAAAGAAAGACUGAGGCAUUUUUCUUCUGGAUCUAGGAGGCUCUAAGGAGCAAAUAAGAGAGUGGAACCAAGGCAACAAAUAUCAGCGACUUUUUCCACACAGCUGGAGGUGGACUUGAAAAGGACACCCAGAGUUGAGUUUGCCUGUCUGCACAUCUGCAUAACCAUGGAAUCAUUAUUUGUUCUCUGGAUCUCUGUCCUCCCCCCCACCCCCCACUCCCUUUCUCCCUUUGUAGGGAAUGGAGAAGCCAGGGCCUCAUGCAUAUGGGUCAAAGCACUCCACCACUGAGUUUUCACACCUUUUUUUUUUUUCUUCUUACAACUUGUGAAGCUGGGUAAAAGUGGAUAAGAAACUGAUAAAUGUUCAAAAUUUUCUGCUACAUUUACUUCCAAAGGGCAAUAAGAUGGGAGUUACAAUUUAUGGACACAGAAAUUGAAACUGAAUUCAACCUGAAAGACCCUCGGAGUGGGGAGACCCUCACUCAAAUCUUGGGAUGACGCAACCCCCCAAGAACUCACACAAGACCGUCCUUGUUGUAAUCACAUGAGGUUUAUCGAUAGCAACCAGUGCACUGGGGUCGAGACUCGUAUCCCACGCAAGGGCAGUGGAGUUCGACCCCGAGAGGCUGGGAGUAGAGGUAUUUAAAGGGAGAAACCACAACCCGAGGGGGCAGGGAUGGCGUCAUUGGAAAGUGUGUAGAAUAACAGUGAAAAAUCACAAGGAAGAACUCUCUGUCCCGCAAGAUUGUUUCCUAGGAGAAGCUGUCUCCUACUUCUCAGAUUGUUUAACUUCAUGGUCCGCUAGUUCCUAGGAGAAGUUGUUUCCUGCUUCUCAAGAUUGCUGUCUAAGAUUUAUGGUCAACUAGUUUCUGGGAGAAAGCUGUUGAGCUGGCCAAUGUAAUUAUACAUUCUAUAGCCCUAGGAGAGGCUUCUUGGAACAUACAAUUCUGGGGCCUAACCUUUUUUUUUUUUUUUUCUGCUCUAAACUUUGUGUCUAGGGAGGCAACUUUAAAACUUUUACAUUUCAAACCCUGUGUGAGUCCCUUGAGGCAUCGUUAGCCUGAAAAAAGGAGGUCUUUGAUAAGAAAAAUAUAAAAUAUUACAGUCAUAUUGACCUGAGCUUUAUACUUUCUGCUUUUGAAAAAAGCUAUAACUCCAAUACUAUUAAAAUAAGCACCUAUAUUUUCUUCUGCUUUUGCAAGUAACGGAUAUUACAUUAAUUUCUAAUCAUUUUUUUUGCUUUGUUUUUUUCCUUUAUUGGAGUUUUUUUUUCCAUUUUAAAUGUUAUCCCCUUUCCCAAUUUUCCCUCCAGAAACCUGCUAUCCCAUCCCCUCACUCCUACUCCCAUCCUUCCCAUCCACCCACCACCCAUCCCCCACCCCUGACUUCCCACAGAUUCUAUGAGAUUGCUCCCUGACCCACUCACUCAUUCACUCCCACCUCCCUGUCCUGACAUUCCCCUAGAGUUGGGUAUCAAGCUUUGACAGGACCAAGGGCCUCUCCUCCUAUUGAUGCCCAACAAGGCCAUCCUCUGCCACAUAUGCAGAUGAAACCAUAGGUCUAUCCCUUUGUUUUCUUGGGAUGGUUGUUUCCAGUUUCUGGCUAUUAUGAAUGAGGUGUUAGGAACACAUUUGAGCAAUAGAUACUGGAGGUUGAUGGAAGGAAGGAAGUGGAUGGAAGAGGCAUGGGGAGGAGAGGGGUAUCAUAUGUAGGGAGAGCAGCAGAGGGAGAAGGGAAAUCGGGUGGGGGAGGAGGGCAAUCUCUAUGACAUGCCAGAGAUCUGGGAUAGAAGAGGUCCCAGAGAGUCUAUGGGGGCAACUCUAGCAGAGAUUCCUAGGAGUGGGGAAUAUGGAAGUGGCAACUUCCUGUAGCCAGGCAGGACUCCCAGUGAAAGGAUAAGAAUAACAGCCCACCCACAAAGCCUUUGAACCAAAAUGUGUCCCGCUUACAAGAUGAGCAAGGACAAAGAUAGAUCUGAGUCUGAGGGAAUGCCCAACCAAUGAGUCACCCAAGUUGAGACCCCAUGGGCAAGAACUAAUCUCUGACACUAUUAAUGAUACUCCAUUAUGCUUACAGACAGAAAUCUAUCAUAAUUGUCCUGUUAGAGGCUCUACCUAGGAGCCAAUGGGAAAGAAAAAUGUAGAGACUCACACCGAAACAUUAGAUGGAGCUCAGAGAGUCUUACAGAAAGGUUGGGAAAAUAAUGAGGGACCUGAAGAGCACAGGGACUCCACAGGAAGACCAAUAGACUCAAUUAACCUAAACCCUUGAGGGGGCUCCCAGAGACUAAAUCACCAACCAAAAAGUGAGCUUGGUCUGGACCUAGGACCCCUGCACCUAAGUAGCAGAUGAGCAGCUUAGUCUUCAUAUGUGUCCCCCAAAAACUAUGGCAGAGGCUGUCACUGAACCUGUUGCCUGCCUGUCUCUGGAUCCCAUGCCCUGAAAUGUCCAGCUUUGUCUGGCCUCAAUGGGAGAUGUUCCUAGUCCCACAUGAAUUGAUUGGGAUGGGGGUAGGGCACCCAGCGGAGGUCUUCCCCAUCUCAAAAGAGAAGUGGGAAGCAUAAUGGGAGAGGAUUUGUGUGAGGGGUACUGGGAAAAGAAGAAAGGCCAAUAUUGGGUUGUUUAAAUGAAUAAAUAAAUUCAUUAAAAAACGUU